rnacentral:tRNA from 1 species
GCCUCGUUAGCUCAGUGGAUCGAGAGCGCCGGCUUGCGGAGCCGGAGGCCGCACGUUCGACUCGUGCACGAGGUACCA